rnacentral:lncRNA from 1 species
GGCACUCGCUGCACCGGGUGCGCGUGCGGGCCGCAUGGCCGGCCCUGCUGCCGCCUCCCCUCUGUGCCGGGGAGACAGACGCGGAUAUAAAUAACAGCGAGGCCGGGCGGGAGGAAGUCCCCCACUGCACCGCUUCAGAGCCAGCGAGUUUUUGGUGAAUAAAUGGAGGCACGAACAUAGGAACGAAUCAUUUCUAUGCCGGAGCCAUGAAGAUUUGGAGGCUCUGUGGUGGGAGGUGGUCCAUGGAGGGCACAACAUCAAGGGCUUCUGGGACCUUGUGCAGAGGUGAGAUAUCUGGCCUGAGGCCCAAUUCACACACUUGGGUGGAGAGGGAUGGUGUUGGCCUGUGUGGAGGGUGAGGGGCCUGAGGAAACCCACCCCACUGAUGGCCCAGAAGGGUUGCCUGCCCCCUGCCCCAGCCUGGAUGGAGGUGGCAAGACCAGUCCUCCCCACCACCCCCAGUGUCACUCUCCCAUACCAGUUACCAGAGUUACGUACACAAAAAUUCGCGCAUGGGUCAAAAUCUCAGUUUCCCACUUCCUAGUUUUAUGAAUGUAGCAGGUAAUCUAACCUGAAGCCCAUUUCUCAGUUGUACUGUGGAGAUAAUACCAGUGUCACCAGGGUGUCAUGAGCGUCGACUAGGGAUCAACAAAUGCUUGAUCGCCCUCUUUAGCCAUGGGUCUUAUGGGCCUGAUAUGCAGUACUGGGGCCAAGGGGCUGGGUCCGGGGAAGAAGGAGGAAGCAGCAGAUGGCCACGCAGGGACCAGCUCCUCCCCUGCCCACUCGGGCAGGGCCCCUCGCCUCCAAAGCAGCUCCGAGCAACUGCCCGGGCAAGAGAAGGGCUGAGAAUCUAAGCGCUAGGGUUUUGGACAGAACCUAGGCCAGCUCCUCUCAUCCCUGCCCACUCAUAAGGGUUUGGUGGUUUAUGGUGGCCACAUCCCAGCUGGAGAGCAGGCUGGAUGGAGGCCAACCCCUCCCUUGGCCUGAAGGGAGCUGGGGCAGUUCCCAGUCUUGUGGAACCUGUUCCCAAGGUGGAGAAGGACCUGACGGAGCAGGCACCCUGAGAUGUAAAAAGGGGCCCGUGCCGCUCUGCCCAUGCAUGGGUCAGCUGAGGGUGACCAAUUGCCGCCUGAAGCCCAAGGGGCUGGGUCACUCCCUCUCCCUCCCCCAUGGGGUCCCAGGAAGAGAACAAGCAUCGAGCACAGAAGGUUAUUAUAUAUCAUGCUUUUAAUACAAACUUAAAAAAAUCUGGAACAAUAUAAACUGUACAGAUUUGAUCUUUUUGUUUUUAAACUAAAUCUCUAAACACACCAAUGCUUCAUUCCAAAAUAUUGCACAACAUUCUGAAUACAAAACGCUUGAUUGUAUUCCUCCUUCACUAAAGAAAAUGAGUUCAUUACCCUGCUCCCCCAAGCUCCUCGUCACGUUGCCUCAAUGCCCCCCUGCCCAUCCCUAGGGGUCAAACUAGACAGAGAAUCCACAGCUCACCGCAUUGAGAAAAAUGCAUCAUUCUGGACUAAAAGUUUACAUUCUUUACAAGACGAUCCACCUUGUGGUUUGUUCCUGGGAAAGAAGGGUAGACAGAGAGGAUGGGGAAAGGGGAGACGUAGGCUUUAUUCUCCGCUUUUUUUAUUUUAAAGUUUGUUUUUCCUGAAAAAAUAUCUUUGUUUCUCUCCUCUUUUUAAGAAAAAAUCUUGAAAAGAAAAAAAUUACGUUUUUUACGUUAGAAAUAUACAUAUAUUAUAUAUACCUCUUACAUUUUACAAAUGUAGCAAAUUAUUCAAUACAAACGGACACCAAAAAAUGUAAAAAAUAAAAAAAAA